rnacentral:rRNA from 1 species
AGUGAACGCUGGCGGUAGGCCUAACACAUGCAAGUCGAACGGCAGCACAGUAAGAGCUUGCUCUUACGGGUGGCGAGUGGCGGACGGGUGAGGAAUACAUCGGAAUCUACUUUUUCGUGGGGGAUAACGUAGGGACACUUACGCUAAUACCGCAUACGCCCUACGGGUGAAAGCAGGGGAUCUUCGUACCUUGCGCGAUUGAAUGAGCCGAUGUCGGAUUAGCUAGUUGGCGGGGUAAAGGCCCACCAAGGCGACGAUCCGUAGCUGGUCUGAGAGGAUGAUCAGCCACACUGGAACUGAGACACGGUCCAGACUCCUACGGGAGGCAGCAGUGGGGAAUAUUGGACAAUGGGCGCAAGCCUGAUCCAGCCAUACCGCGUGGGUGAAGAAGGCCUUCGGGUUGUAAAGCCCUUUUGUUGGGAAAGAAAAGCAGCAGGUUAAUACCCCGCUGCUCUGACGGUACCCAAAGAAUAAGCACCGGCUAACUUCGUG